UACAGGGGGGGCAAGCGUUGUUCGGAAUUACUGGGCGUAAAGGGCGCGUAGGCGGCCUUCUAAGUCGAACGUGAAAUCCCUGGGCUCAACCCAGGAACUGCGUCCGAUACUGGGAGGCUUGAAUCCGGGAGAGGGAUGCGGAAUUCCAGGUGUAGCGGUGAAAUGCGUAGAUAUCUGGAGGAACACCGGUGGCGAAGGCGGCAUCCUGGACCGGCAUUGACGCUGAGGCGCGAAAGCCAGGGGAGCAAACGGG
rnacentral:rRNA from 1 species